CUUUCUGUACAAGUAGAAAAUAAUACAAGCAGUCAUAACAAAUCAGUAAUGUAUUGAAAACUCAUAGUACAUAUGAAGACUUCAGAUGCAAAGUCCUCUAAGUUCCACCUGAAAUUUUCUUUUAAAAUUCUUCUUAGAAGAACAUUUCAGACAGAACUUAAAGGCUUUUGCAUCUGAAGUCUUCAUAUACAACAUAGCUUGUUCUUCAUUUCCACAUCAACUGACUUCAUCCUCC